GAAAAGAAAAGUAAAGGACUAAAUUGUAAAGUUUAGUCACAUUUUGUAUCGAGUACUUAUCUAGUCACUCGGGGAUCGAAGGAAAUGUCGGAGGCCGAUCACACUAUCAAAGAAAUAACUCGGUAUAAUUAGACGUUUUGUUUUGUGUAUGGCAUGUAUAGAAACUUAGCCACUUUUGGUAUAAUAUGAACAAUGAAUGAUGUGUAAAUA